GUGAAUCAUCGAAUCUUUGAACGCAAAUUGCACUUUCUGGUAUUCCGGAAAGUAUGCCUGUUUGAGGGUCAGUUAAAUAAAAAUCGGUGUUGUUCCUGCUUUUCGUGUUGACGCUUCGGAAUUGAUUGGUCUUUCUUUCGGUUAAUUGACUUAAAAUUUUGCAUGAUCUUCGAGCGUAUUUAAUUUUCUUACGUACGUUUGAGUUGUCGAAUACUUUAUUAGUUUCGUACAUUCUCAUGAGUCGCAC
rnacentral:misc_RNA from 1 species